rnacentral:rRNA from 1 species
UACGGAGGGUGCAAGCGUUAUCCGGAUUCACUGGGUUUAAAGGGCGCGUAGGCGGGUUGGUAAGUCAGUGGUGAAAUCUCCAAGCUUAACUUGGAAACUGCCGUUGAUACUAUCAAUCUUGAAUCUCGUGGAGGUAAGCGGAAUAUGUCAUGUAGCGGUGAAAUGCUUAGAUAUGACAUAGAACACCGAUAGCGAAGGCAGCUUGCUACACGAGUAUUGACACUGAGGCACGAAAGCGUGGGGAGCGAACAGG